rnacentral:rRNA from 1 species
CGCAUUAAGCACUCCGCCUGGGGAGUACGGUCGCAAGACUGAAACUCAAAGGAAUUGACGGGGGCCCGCACAAGCGGUGGAGCAUGUGGUUUAAUUCGAAGCAACGCGAAGAACCUUACCAGGUCUUGACAUCUUCUGACAACCCUAGAGAUAGGGCUUUCCCUUCGGGGACAGAGUGACAGGUGGUGCAUGGUUGUCGUCAGCUCGUGUCGUGAGAUGUUGGGUUAAGUCCCGCAACGAGCGCAACCCUUGAUCUUAGUUGCCAGCAUUCAGUUGGGCACUCUAAGGUGACUGCCGGUGACAAACCGGAGGAAGGUGGGGAUGACGUCAAAUCAUCAUGCCCCUUAUGACCUGGGCUACACACGUGCUACAAUGGACAGAACAAAGGGGUGCGAGACCGCAAGGUUUAGCCAAUCCCACAAAUCUGUUCUCAGUUCGGAUCGCAGUCUGCAACUCGACUGCGUGAAGCUGGAAUCGCU